CGGGCUCAUAUCGGCCUGAUCCACUCUUGACUAUGUGUUCUAUGCUUCACGAGUUAGGUUGUUACACAUUCAAAUUCACUCUUGACUAUGGAAUUUGAUUGCUUUUUUUUGUAAAUUUAAAACAUGACAUAUCAGUUAAUGUGCUUGCUGCCGACUGCAGCUGACUAGAGGCAAGAGGAUCCUACACCUAUUGCUGCAGCCCUCCAGGCUUCCCAUGUGUUCUAUGCUUAGGUUUUUACACAUUUAGAUCCUGUAUUUUGACUAUGAAAUUUGAUUGUUUUUUUUGCUGAUUUAGAACAUGACACAUAUCAAUUUGUGUGCUUGUAGCUCUUGAUUGUUCAAAUUAUUCAUGCUUAGUGUGCAUAGGAUUCUAUGCAAUUCAUUUUCAUGCAAUUUUGAAUUUUGGAUGUAAAUUUCUAAUUACUUACCUCCACUAAGCUUUCUAUGCUUGGAAGUAAUAAUUUGU
rnacentral:lncRNA from 1 species